rnacentral:rRNA from 1 species
CCUACGGGGGGCAGCAGUGGGGAAUUUUGGACAAUGGGGGAAACCCUGAUCCAGCCAUGCCGCGUGCGGGAAGAAGGCCUUCGGGUUGUAAACCGCUUUAGUCUAGGAAAAAGGGGUGCAGGGUUAAUACCUCUGUGCUUUGAUGGUACUGGAAGAAUAAGCACCGGCUAACUACGUGCCAGCAGCCGCGGUAAUACGUAGGGUGCGAGCGUUAAUCGGAAUUACUGGGCGUAAAGCGUGCGCAGGCGGUCUUGUAAGACAGUCGUGAAAGCCCCGGGCUUAACCUGGGAACUGCGAUUGUGACUGCAAGGCUAGAGUGUGUCAGAGGGGGGUAGAAUUCCACGUGUAGCAGUGAAAUGCGUAGAGAUGUGGAGGAAUACCGAUGGCGAAGGCAGCCCCCUGGGAUAACACUGACGCUCAUGCACGAAAGCGUGGGGAGCAAACAGGAUUAGAUACCCCGGUAGUC